rnacentral:misc_RNA from 1 species
AAAGUCGUAACAAGGUUUCCGUAGGUGAACCUGCGGAAGGAUCAUUAUAGAAUGUUACCUUUUGGUGCACUCUUAUUAUCCCUUUGUCUAUCUUCUCUGUUGCUUCCAUGGUGCCAGUUUGUGUUCUUCUGUUGAAGGCCAGCUUCGUAUACAUCAGGUGUGUAAAAUCACCAGAUUCGAAAGUGCCCAUGGGUAUAAAAAACCAUUGUGAAAUAGUCUGAAUAUAUGUGGAAAUUGAAAUAAAACUUUCAACAACGGAUCUCUAGGCUCUU